rnacentral:tRNA from 1 species
GGGAAUGUGGCUUAGUGGUAGAGUGCUUGCCUAGUACACAUGAAGCCCUGGGUUCGAUUCCCCAGUACCA